AACCUCAGAAAACAAACAGACCCCAGACGAAAAAUGAAGUUCAAGAUCAAAAUAGCACUGGAUAUAAAUCACACGUGCUUCAUUUAGGUGCAGAUCAAAAUAGAAAUGUCCCAAAUAAAGAUAUUUUAGGGAAUAAAAUUGAACCUCAGGAAAGAAAUGG